GACGAACGCUGGCGGCGGGCUUAACACAUGCAAGUCGAACGGAAAGGCCCUGCUUUUGGGGGGUGCCCGAGGGGCGAACGGGGGAGUAACGCGUGAGUAAUCGGCCUUUGACUGGGGGAUAAGUGCAGGAAACGGGGGCUAAUACCGGAUAGGAGCCCCGGCUGCAUGGGGGGGGUUGGAAAGUUUCGGCGGAUGUGGAUGGACUCGCGGCUUGUCAGCUUGUGUGUUGGGUAGUGGCUGACCAAGGCUUUGGCGCGUAGCCGGCCUGGGAGGGUGACCGGCCACACUAGGCCUGGGCUGCGGCCCAGCCUACUACGGGACGCAGCAGUGGAGUAUGUUGCACUAUGCGCGGAAGCCUGAUGCAGCCACGCCGCGUGGCGGAUGACGGCCUUCGCGUUGUAUUCCGAUUUCCCCUGUGCCGAGACGUGAGUGACGGUACUGGGUAAAGAAGCCCCGGCUAACUACGUG
rnacentral:rRNA from 1 species